rnacentral:rRNA from 1 species
AUUGAACGCUGGCGGCAUGCUUUACACAUGCAAGUCGGACGAGUGGCGAACGGGUGAGUAAUAUAUUGGAACGUACCGCGUAAUGGGGGAUAACCAAUCGAAAGAUUGGCUAAUACCGCAUACUAUUCUUGUGGCCAAUAUCUGAUUAGCUAGUGGGUGGGGUAAAGGCCUACCAGGGCGACGAUCAGUAGCGGGUCUGAGAGGCUGAUCGGCCCCACUGGGACUGAGACACGGCCCAGACUCCUACGGGAGGAAGCAGUGGGGAAUUUUGGACAAGGGGCGCAAGCCUGAUCCGGCCAUGCCGCGUGUCUGAAGAAGGCCUUCGGGUUGUAAAGGACUUUUGUUAGGGAAGCGGUACCUAAAGAAUAAGCACCGGCUAACUACGUGCCAGCAGCCGCGGUAAUAC